CGGGGUGUAGCGCAGCCCGGUUAGCGCACCACGUUAGGGACGUGGGGGUCGGAUGUUCGAAUCAUCUCACCCCGACUA
rnacentral:tRNA from 1 species